rnacentral:SRP_RNA from 1 species
CCGCGCUAGACGGGAAGUUAGCGGUGUCCUGCACUCGCAAUCCGCUUUAGCGAGGUCGAAUUCCCACCCGAGGGCGUCUUACCUUUUGGUCAGGCGCGGGGUACGAGGCGCUGACGGCUGGGUCCUACUCAACGGGAAGCUGCUGAACCCGGUCAGGUCCUGACGGAAGCAGCCGCAGGCGGUUCUUCUCGUGUGCUGUAGGGACGCCUGGCCCGAGUCAACGGCCCCGUGGCCGCUCUGGGUAAGCGUUCGACGGUGGGUGCGCGG